rnacentral:rRNA from 1 species
ACUAAAGUUGUUGCAGUUAAAAAGCUCGUAGUUGGAUUUCAUGCGGGGUUCACGGUGUGUGGGUGGAGAGGGUGUGUUCUACGCGCGCCUUCUUCUGCCUCGCACUGUUUGCGCUCUGCAGUUUUAAUAUUCCCUGGUGGCGCCUUUGGCGCGUGCCCUUGAUUGGGUGUGUGUCAAGUCACGUAGUGGUGGGGCGCUGUUGGGGGCUUUACUUUGAAAAAAUUAGAGUGUUCAAAGCAGGCAGUCAUUUGAUUUGCUUGAAUAGAUUAGCAUGGAACAACGGAAGAGGACUUUUGGGCCUGUACUGUUGGCGUGUGGUGCGGGGGUGUGGAGUGAGAAACCGCAAGGUUUUCUUGUUCCUCCCUCACCACAUCGGGUCUGAAGUAAUGAUUAAUAGGGACGGUUGGGGGCACUGGUAUUUCGUUGUCAGAGGUGAAAUUCUUGGAUUUACGAAAGACCGCCGACUGCGAAAGCAUUUGCCAAGGACGCUUUCAUUGAUCAAGAACGAAAGUUAGGGGAUCGAAGACGAUUAGAUACCGUCGUAGUCUUAACCAUAAACGAUGCCGGCCAGGGCUCGGUGGGCAGCACAAAUCAUUCUGUGAUGGAGGCGCCAUCGGGACCUUUAGGGAAACCAAAGCGUUUGGGUUCCGGGGGGAGUAUGAUCGCAAGAUUGAAACUUAAAGGAAUUGACGGAAGGGCACCACCAGGAGUGGAGCCUGCGGCUUAAUUUGACUCAACACGGGGAAACUCACCAGGUCCAGACAUGGGAAGGAUUGACAGAUUGACAGCUCUUUCUUGAUUCCAAGGGAGGUGGUGCAUGGCCGUCCAGCUUUUGUUGUGAAAUCUCUGUUUGAUUACGGUAAACGGCGAGACCUUGACUUGCUGAUUGGUGUGCGCCUGCGUCAGCAGGCGUUGGAGAUUACGCGCAAGCGUGUCUUUUGAUACACCACUCAGAGGGACACUCGGCGUUGCUAUUGAGCGUAAGCCGAAGGAAGUUUGAGGCGAUAACAGGUCUGUGAUGCCCUUAGAUGUUCUGGGCUGCACGCGCGCUACACUGACGGGGGCAGCGAGUAUGCUUUGGGUGUUUGUGGUGGGGAGCGUGAAAGCGUUUCUCGACGACAGACAUCUAUUCCUGCGCUGGAAGGCGUGGGGACUCUUGUGAAAACCCGUCGUGCUGGGGAUAGAUGCUUGCAAUUAUUCAUCUUGAACGAGGAAUUCCUAGUAAGCGCAAUUCAACAGAUUGCGUUGAUUACGUCCCUGCCCUUUGUACACACCGCCCGUCGCUACUACCGAUUGAAUGGUUUAGUGAGGCCUCGGGAUUGGCGCGUGGGCGCUGGCAACAGCUGCCCAUGUCAUCUUUUGCUGAGAACCUGGUCAAACUUGAUCAUUUAGAGGAAGUAAAAGUCGUAACAAGGUUUCCGUAGGUGAACCUGCGGAAGG